UCCUGAGAAAGGGGAGGAAGAAGCUUAUGUGGCUAUGUUGAGUAAGUAGUCGUGAUGACCGACUUCUCCAGGGUUCCAAAAGUCCUGGCAGCCUGCACUGCCUAGUCAGCUCGAGGCGGAACACUGUGGGCCUUUACUUUGUGAUGUAAGAGAAUCAAUUAACAUCAUUGGGGAGGCAGACAGGCAGGAGCCGUGGACUCCUCUCAACCCCAGCCAGUGAGUGAUUCGCUACCCUGCUCAACCUUCAACUAGACUUGUUUCUGGUGAGUCAAACUGCACCAGCUGCUUUUCCUCUAGCAGAGAGGGUACGGUGGGUGCAAAGGAAGGGCUGAGCUUGCAUCUGUCUGGGGAUGAGGCACAGAAGAUUUUAAAAGGGUCACACUAGAGCUGAAUCCUAAGAGAUACAUAGUAUUUUCCAGGUAAGGAGGUGGUGGGCAGGGAGAAUUGGUCUAUUCUGGAAACUGCUAGUUCUUUCUUAGGACAGGCACAUUGAGGCUUCAGAAAUAGAAGAAGGUCACAUGAUGAAGGGACUUUUAUGGGAUGCUAAAGAGUUUGGGCUUUGAUACAACUACUGAAGGAUUUUAGGCAGGGUAAUAUCCUUGUCAGUUAUGCUCUUAAGAAAGACCCCUCUGGAAUAACUUUUUUGGAAGUGACAUUCAUCCUUUCUUCCCUACAGCUAAUUUCAUUUGUUACUUUUCUUGCUUUGUCUUUCUCAACAUCUAAUUGUUACCAGCUCUUCAGUGUCAUAUCUUUCCUUUCCAAACUUAUUACUGAUUCCUGAGUCAAGUUCAAGCACUUUAUUAACAUUUCUUUUUACAGGCUUUAUUGGGCUCUCUUUAUGUCCUUGAAACUAUGUUUUAUGCUGACUGCUUGAUCUAUCUGAAGCAGAUCUCCGAAGCCUGCUUUCAUGAAGCCCCUAGUGACUGUUCCCUCCACUGGAUUCCUACAACAGCAAAGAAGCCACCUGUUAGGUUCUUAGCACAAGAAGCUUUAUACUGUCACUUUUUUUUUUUUUUUUUUUUUAACAUGUCUGUAAGCUAUCUGCAAGGAGGGACCAUGCCUUAAGGGAGGAGGAGGAUAACAAAAAAUAGCAUUAGGACAGGGCAAACCCUGAGGACUAGUCCCAACUCUGAGACUCUACAGCUUGGGAAAAUUCAGUCUACCUCUCUGGCCUUUGGAUCCCUCAUCUGUCAGAUGCCAAGUUGUGCAAGAAUGGUUUGGUCUGGACUGGCCUCUGAUGUCCCCACCCUUGCCUUGAGCAUGGCAAUUGUCCCCAAAGUGAAUGACGAUGCUGUCUUAGGGUAGACUUCUGCAAAGGGCCCUGAGCAGCCAGAGGGUACGUGUGUACUUUUCUUUUGGGAGCCUGCUCUUUUCCUAUCGCUGUGCAAACUGGCCCUGGCACAUUGGUCUGGCUUGGAAUGUGACUGGCAGCUGUCAAAGUGCUGCGACCACUGCUAUGGAAGAGAUCUCACUGGAUGAGGAUCACCUUGUUGUUUUCACAGUGCGAGGCUCUGCCUUCUUGAAAGUUCUGGCAGUAUCAAUAGAGGCUGUUCCUCAGAGCUUUCACAAAGCAGCCACCCUGGCUGACAAGUCCUGGGGCAAGGUGUCUUGGACCACUAAUAACUCAGCAUCUCUUCUAGGCUUUUAUGGGCUCUUCAGUGACUCUGCAUGCCUCUGUAUCCCCUCAUGCCCAGGCAGUGGCAAAUAGAGACCAUGAUGCCACAGCUACCAGCUUGGGAGCCAGGUGUCUGCGACUGACCCAGAGCUGCUUCUCACUGUGCUAUUUCAGGCUCUUAGGACAUGGGACUGUGGAAUCUCAGCAUUGGAAAAGAGAGAUCUUAGAGCUCAGUUGAUUCAAUUCCUGGUACCUGAAUCCCCUCUAAUACUAGCAGUGGCAUCCUUAUUGAGUGCCUUCCCAUAGGUCAUCACAAUAUUGCCACCAAGUGAGGGCCCAGUGUGUGAACACCUCUUGAGUUAAGUCUGUUCAGCUCAGAGGUUUUGACUGCUGGAAACACCCCCCCCUCACCCUGUGCUUAAGAUCUUUUAGAACGUAUAGUAUAAUGGAGGACAGCACAUCCUGCUUGUAUGUGAACCCAGGGUCCACCUACUAGCUGACUAACAUUGGGCAAGUUACUGAGUCCUCUGUCCCUCGCUUUCCUCAUCUGAAAAAUGGGGAUAAUAAUAUUACAAUCUCAUAAAGCUGUUGUACAGAUUAGGGAAGCACGCAUGAAAAAUUUUUUUAAAGUGCCUGGCAUAUAGAAAGUAAUGUAUGUUAUAUGUAUAUAUAAACAUAAAUAUAUUAUUAUGUAAUACUGUUGUAUAUCAUAUAUAAUUAUAUGUCAUGUAUAAUCAAAUAUAUCAAACAUCUAUCACAUAUAUGACAUACACACGCACAUACAUAUACUGUUAUUAUUAUACUGUUCUUGCUACUGUAACUUAACAGCAACAAAACUCCUCAAUAGAGAGAGGAGACUUCAAGUGUAAAUCUUCCUGGGAAGAAAAUGAAUGAUCUUUGCCUUGUAUGACCCAUGUGCUUUACAUGGCAUCUUACUUAGUCUUCACAACAAUAUAUAUGAGAGAUAUUGUCAAUUCCUGUUUUACAGAGGAUGAAACUAAGGCUCAUGUCAUCGGGCCAGCGCUCAAGGGUCACUGACAUGGUAAGUGGCAGAGGUGGUCUUAUUUCAAAGGCAUUAAACUGCGGUGACUUAACUUCCUACGGUGGCAGACAUGGCUGGGACCAGCUCUUUCUCUGAGAGGCGGCUGGUACCACUGGCUUCUGGAUGAGGCAUGGGUGACUGAAGAGAAGAAUCUUGGAGGAGGAGGGCUAUAUGAUGUGAGGGGGCGGGGCUGCCGAGGCGCCGGGUGAUGGGAAGAAUGUGGGCACCCCUCUCCUCCCCUUUGCUCCCCUUCAGUGCACAGUCUUGCUCCACGUUCAGAUGCCUUCAACUUCAAGACCCUCCAUCAGAGACAGACCCUGCUGCCCGCUGUGAGCUGCUCUUCCCUCCUAGGACUGUGAGGCAGCCACUCCCUGCGUGUCCUUUACUCCCAGCACUCUCAUCUGCCAGCUGAGCAACCUCUCCUGCCUUAAAACCUUUUCCUUGCACAAUGGAAUGACUUACUGGCUUCCUGCCAAGACCAAAAUAGUCUGGGCUCUAUUUAUCUGUUCUGUGCUCACACAGGACGGGGAACAUCACAGUAAAGCUUCAGUGCUCUUGAAUUUGGAUGAGCCAAUGCUCAGACUAGUGCCUGGCAAAUAUAUUUGCUUUUUAGGGCCUCCCUGGUGGCGCAGUGGUUGAGAAUCUGCCCGCUAAUGCGGGGGACAUGGGUUCGAGCCCUGGUCUGGGAAGAUCCCACAUGCCGCGGAGCAACUAGGCCCGUGAGCCACAACUACUGAGCCUGCGCAUCUGGAGCCUGUGCUCCGCAACAAGAGAGGCCGCGAUAGUGAGAGGCCCGUGCACCGCGAUGAAGAGUGGCCCCCGCUUGCCAUAACUAGAGAAAGCCCUCGCAUAGAAACGAAGACCCAACACAGCAAAAUAAAUAAAUAAAUAAAAUUAAUUAAUUAAUAAACUGCUUUUUAAAUUUGUUUUGAAGUGAGCUGAGGUGAGGAGAGGAACAGAAGGCAUAGAGAGGAAUGAAAAGUUAUGGGUCUUUUAGUCUUGGUCAUAAGCUUCAGAAAAUUCCUGUGCAUGGGAGUGAUGACUCAGAUGGUAACCUAGCACUCGUGAUAAGCAGCUUAUCCAAAGGAUCUAAACACCGA